AGAGUUUGAUCCUGGCUCAGGGUGAACGCUAGCUACAGGCUUAACACAUGCAAGUCGAGGGGAAACGACAUCGAAAGUCUUGUCUUUUGAUGGGCGUCGACCGGCGCACGGGUGAGUAACGCGUAUCCAACCUGCCCACCACUUGGGGAUAACCUUGACGAAAGUAAGACUAAUACCCAAUGAUAUCUCUAGAAGACAUCUGAAAGAGAUUAAAGAUUUAUCGGUGAUGGAUGGGGAUGCGUCUGAUUAGCUUGUUGGCGGGGUAACGGCCCACCAAGGCAACGAUCAGGUAGGGGUUCUGAGAGGAAGGUCCCCCACAUUGGAACUGAGACACGGUCCAAACUCCUACGGGAGGCAGCA
rnacentral:rRNA from 1 species